rnacentral:misc_RNA from 1 species
AAGUCGUAACAAGGUUUCCGUAGGUGAACCUGCGGAAGGAUCAUUAGCGAAGUUCGGAAUGCAUGUUCGAUGUUGAUGCUGCCCAGCGAUGGGAUGUGCUCGCUCGGAUGUGUGUCCCUUCUCUAUCCACCCCAUUGUGAACCAAGUGUGUGAGCCGAAGAGAAAUCGGACGCUCGCAUGCAAACCUUUAACAUACCCCAAUAAAGUAUCAGAAUGUACCUUGCGUUAACUCGCACAAAUAUAACUUUCAACAACGGAUCUCUUGGCUCUC